rnacentral:tRNA from 1 species
CGUCUCGUAGCUCAGCCGUGGCAGAGCGCCGGAGUGAAAUCCCGGAGGCCGCAGGUUCAACCCCUGCCGAGACGA